rnacentral:tRNA from 1 species
UGAUACUGUACUUUAUUAAGAAGAUCUAAUUUGCGUUUAGAGAGAGAGUUUUAUUUCCAGUUUCAA